GGUCUUUCUUUUUGUUCUUGCCUAGAGAUGUUACAUGAGUCUUUGUUGUAAAGCUGGUGUGUUUCUUAAUAUGUGUCUCAGCAUUUUCCUCAGCACUUGGAACCAGCCAACCGGCGCAAGCACAGGAAAAAUAUCCGUCGCUGAUUACCGCAAAAAGCUUUGAAAUAUUUUUUCAACCCGGACGGGUACAGGAGGAACGGGCAAGCGGCUCCGCGGAGCAACACUGCCCCCUGCAGACCACAGAAACCAAAAUGCCAGCAAGCCCGGAAGAAAAUCGAUCCUUCCUGCUCGGUUUCCAGCAGAGGACUUAAUGGGGGAUGCCCUUGCGGACCAGACAAAGAAAGGGAACAUCUCGAAGGGGCCUGGGCCAACCACCCCUGAACCGCGCGAGUUCCGCUCGACCCACCCACAGAACCACAGCGAGGCGGGCAAGAAGUCAGGACGUCCAGGAAGAUCCGGAGUUGCUGAGGGCUGGUUCUGGGCCUGCCCUGGGGAGCACUGAGGAAUUCCUCAACGAUGGGAAGCAAGACAAGGGUAACCACUCCCUCCACUACAUUCACUAUGUCAGCUUAUAUUAUGUUGUUGGAUUUUUAAGUGUCAGUGCGUCCGGCGAAAGUUCUCACAACGGGCUCUCUGAAGGGCUCAGAUGCAGUUUGAAUCAGCCAACCGGCACUAGCGGAGGAAAAGAAAACAAAACCAAACCAGCUGCUUCUUGAGGCAAAAGGCUCCCUGUUAUUUUAUUAAAGCGCCAUAGCGGAGGAAAAACCGGCCCGGCGACACUGUGGAGCAACACUGCCACCUGCAGGCUACAGAAACCCAAACGCCGCAAGCCCGGAAGAAAAUUCAUCGUUUCUGCUGGGUUUCCGCGCAGAGGACUGGACAGCGUGGAUACGAAAGUUAAGUAGAAAGCCCGUAAGGACCAGAGAAAGGAAGGGAAUCUCUCGACGGGGUCCGGCCAAACCACCCCUGGACAGCGAGCAGUCCGCGGAACCAUAGCAACACGGGCAGGAAGUCAGCGAGUCCAG
ensembl:lncRNA